rnacentral:rRNA from 1 species
GAGGAAUAUUGGUCAAUGGGCGCAAGCCUGAACCAGCCAUGCCGCGUGAAGGAUGACAGCGCUACGCGUUGUAAACUUCUUUUGUACAGGAAGAAACGCUUCUACG